rnacentral:misc_RNA from 1 species
UUUUUUUUUUUAAUUUUUAAUAGUAAAAAGCAGUGGGUAGAUUAGUAUGAGGUUUUUGGAUUUUGUUAAAAUUUAUUUGUUGGUACUUAAAAUUCUUUAAGAGGCAAUUAAAAUAUCACUUGUUAAAGUAGUUCUGCUACUCUUCCAUAAAAGUUAGAUGGGAAAUGUCCAAAAUAUCCUUGAGUACUAUUCAAAAUGUUCAAAAAUCAAAAUGCCACAUCUCUCGGUUAAAAUACACAAACCACUACUUGAAUUCUCUCAAAGUCCCCUUCCUCAUCGAUUGGAAACCAUCAAGUUCUAGUUAGUACUGUGAUAUUGUUGGUGGGUAAUUCUUCAUUCAAAGGUGUUUUGAUAUAAAUGGCAUUGUAGCAAUUUUUUUUCCAGAAUUCACAUUUUAAGUCCCUUAUGUUUUAGUAAACGUUACUAUUUAGUUCCCUACAUUUUUUAAAUAUAACUAUCUUAGUCCCUACAUUCGAUAAAUGUAUACUAGUUCGUCCCUAUCAUUAUUAGUUAACCUAGAAAACAGAGCAUAUAUUCCUAGCUUUAACAAAACUACAAAAACAGAGCAUCUAAAUACAUUAUCAAUUAUAACCCAUUCUUACCCAUUUCCUACUUGCUUCUUAGUACAAUAAAAACCAAAAACACUAUCAAAAUAAACAACACAUAUGUUUUCAAAAAUCCAAAGAUCAAAUCAAGCUGUUAAAGCUUUCUUUCCACUUACCUAUGAUCUUCUUUCAGCUUCACGACCUCAUCCUUGAGCUCAAUUUUCAUAUUCAUAACAUCUUCCUUUAGCACAUUUUAUAGCUGCAUAACCUCUUACUUUAGCACAUUUGCUAGCUUCAUAACCUCUUCCCUUAACUGAUUUACCUAUCAACUUUCAACAAUCUGCCUUGUUGAAGAGUUUCGGCUCCAUCCAGUUGAAGUAGCAGUUAAUGAUGAAAGCUCAAUGCACCACCCCCGAAAAGUUCCACGUCUAUUAUUUGUGCAAUAGUAAUAUGGCUGGUUUGCAGAUUGGGAAAUGCUUACCCUACAACUUUUCCCACCUCUACAAUUGGCAGCCAUUAUCCUCCCAUCCCAUCCACUUACGGUGCUACCUGAAUGAGACAUUGUGACGGAAAGAAGUAAACAAAGGAAAAUUGGGGAAAUAAGGAGAGGUAGAUGCUACAAAGAUGAAAGAGAAAUGACCUAAGGUGGGAAGCAAUGGCGGAAGGAGAAGGAAAGAGAGGAUCGUGGUGUUUUUGCCAUUUCACGUUUUUUUCUGCCUUCUUAUCAAGUUCUCUCCCAUUUGACUAAUGUUUUUCUCAUAAAAGACUAAUAAAAGGACUAAAUAAUCUUGUUUUGAAUUAACAAAGAGACAUUUUAAUCGAUGCUAAGAAUUUUAAGGAUCAAUUAAUAAAUUUUAGUAAAAUCUAAAAAUCUCAUGGUAAUUUACCCAAAUGUAUUUAAAA